UUAUCUUCUUCAGUUCUUCUUCUAUCAAUUCAUCGAAGACACUCCCCUCAGCUCUCCUUGCAUUUUCGACAUUGAAUUUCAAUUGUUUUGAAUAGCGAACUUUACUGACUAAUUCCAUCUGGCGGGUCCUUGAGAAGAAGAGAGGACGGUGGUGACAGUGGUGUGUGUGGCCAUUGUGGCCGGCGUAGGGGCGUUGGAUUGACUUUCCUGGCAACAUAAGCUCCUUUUGGGUUCUCUUUUCCUCGGAGAAUUCGAUAAUAUAGAUUCGGCAGUCUUAUCUACGUUGGUCGCCGUCGGUAUCGGGCGUAUUUCUCAUCCACCAAUUAAUCGUUUCCGGAAUUUUAAUUAAUGGAUAGGUACGUUCUUUCCGUUUCUAUAUCCUUAG
rnacentral:lncRNA from 1 species